rnacentral:hammerhead_ribozyme from 1 species
GCACUGCUGACGUGUCCCAAACAGGACGAAACAACUGUCCAGUGC